UUUGUUCCUAUAUGAGGCAAAAGGAUUCCUCUGUCUCCAUACAACAUUGCCACCACUCAUGGCCUCCCUCAAUCUGAUCGGGAUGAACUCUGUACUUUCGAAAGUGGGGCAAUCAACCUUGAAGAGUUAGGUAUUGUUGGUGUGGUGAGGUUGUGGCCGAGGGAGGAAGUCAGGGAAGGGUAAAGGGCAUGGAAGUCAUCGCCCGGGCGGGGGAGGGGUGUGGCUGUUGCUGUUGCGUUUGUUUUCUCUUUGAUUUUUUAAGUUUUUUCUUUCUAAAUUUUACAAAGUUAACGGUUUAAUUUCAGGGAUAUUAGAAAGUGGGUGCACACAUCUCAAAAUAUUAGAAAAGAGACACAAAGAGACAUGGAAUUUGAGGACAGCGGAUCCGCUCCCUACAUAUAGGGACAAAAUCACAUAUGGAAAGCUAUUAUAAUUUUCUAUGGUAUAUUGUGCGCACCAACAUUCUUCCCUCACCUCCG
rnacentral:lncRNA from 1 species